GUUGGUGUAGCUCAGUGGUAGAGUGCAUGCUAUGUGUGAAUGAUGCCCAGGGUUUAAUUCCCAGCUUCUCUC